GCACGGCUAGCUCAGUCGGUAGAGCGUGAGACUCUUAAUCUCACGUUCGUUGGUUCGAGCUCCACGUUGGGCA